CAUUGAUUAUAUUACAGUGCACUAUCGAUCUGGAAAACAGUUUCAGUCUCUUAUUCAUCAAAAGCUUCAAAAAAGAACAUCAUGGGUUUGCUGACUGACCCUAAACGUCAGAAGAAGAUUGUGGACGUUAUCUCCAAGUACAACAACAUACUGUGUGUGCUGUGCUAUGUGGCUGGAGUUGCUGGGUUUCUGGCAUUGGCUUACCAGCCAUUCAAUGGAGCAACUUACUUCUCUGAAAAUGCUUUGUUACCUGGAUUGGUUACAACUGAAUUCUAUGCAGAGAUGAACUUGAAUGC